rnacentral:other from 1 species
CUUCCCGAGCCGGAACGAAAAGUACUGAAAAAUGAGGCGGAUUGCGGAGUUUAUCGGGACUUUUGGCUUGUGGUCGUAAUGUUGUGUUUGCAAUUGAUCUGAGGAUUUUCGGGUCCGGUAGCCAGGCUACCAUAAUUUACAGAGUUAUCCUGUCCAUAAUAUUUUUAGCACCGCAAUUUGCGGUGCUUUUUUUU